GGGUCAGUAGGUUGGUCGUGCCACCGGUACGUACUGGUCUCACUGAUUCCUCCUUCCUGAAGAACCGUAAUGCCAUUAAUUUGGUGUUGCGGGGAAACAGGACUGUUACUUUGAAAAAAUUAGAGUGUUUAAAGCAAGCUAACGCUUGAAUACAUUAGCAUGGAAUAAUAAAAUAGGACGAUCGAUCCUAUUUUGUUGGUUUCUAGGAUUGACGUA
rnacentral:rRNA from 1 species